GACCGCGUAGCUCAGUUGGAAGAGCAUUGGGCUAGUAUUCCAAAGGUCGUAGGUUCGAAUCCCACCGUGAUCG